GACGAACGCUGGCGGCGUGCCUAAUACAUGCAAGUAGAACGCUGAAGGAGGAGCUUGCUUCUCUGGAUGAGUUGCGAACGGGUGAGUAACGCGUAGGUAACCUGCCUGGUAGCGGGGGAUAACUAUUGGAAACGAUAGCUAAUACCGCAUAAGAGUAGAUGUUGCAUGACAUUUGCUUAAAAGGUGCAAUUGCCUCACUACCAGAUGGACCUGCGUUGUAUUAGCUAGUUGGUGGGGUAACGGCUCACCAAGGCGACGAUACAUAGCCGACCUGAGAGGGUGAUCGGCCACACUGGGACUGAGACACGGCCCAGACUCCUACGGGAGGCAGCAGUAGGGAAUCUUCGGCAAUGGACGGAAGUCUGACCGAGCAACGCCGCGUGAGGGAAGAAGGUUUUCGGAUCGUAAAGCUCUGUUGUAAGAGAAGAACGAGUGUGAGAGUGGAAAGUUCACACUGUGACGGUAUCUUACCAGAAAGGGACGGCUAACUACGUG
rnacentral:rRNA from 1 species